AUUGAACGCUGGCGGCAUGCCUUACACAUGCAAGUCGAGCGCCUGUAGCAAUACAGGAGCGGCAGACGGGUGAGUAACGCGUGGGAACGUACCCUUUGGUUCGGAACAACACAGGGAAACUUGUGCUAAUACCGGAUAAGCCCUUACGGGGAAAGAUUUAUCGCCGAAGGAUCGGCCCGCGUCUGAUUAGCUUGUUGGUGAGGUAACGGCUCACCAAGGCUACGAUCAGUAGCUGGUCUGAGAGGAUGAUCAGCCACACUGGGACUGAGACACGGCCCAGACUCCUACGGGAGGCAGCAGUGGGGAAUAUUGGACAAUGGGCGCAAGCCUGAUCCAGCCAUGCCGCGUGAGUGAUGAAGGCCCUAGGGUUGUAAAGCUCUUUCGGCGGGGAAGAUAAUGACGGUACCCGCAUAAGAAGCCCCGGCUAACUUCGUGCCAGCCGCCGCGGUAAAAC
rnacentral:rRNA from 1 species